rnacentral:rRNA from 1 species
UACGGGGGGGGUAAGCGUUGUUCGGAAUUACUGGGCGUAAAGGGCUCGUAGGCGGCCAACUAAGUCAUACGUGAAAUCCCUCAGCUUAACUGGGGAACUGCGUGUGAUACUGGAUGGCUUGGAUUUGGGAGAGGGAUGCGGAAUUCCAGGAUGUAGCGGUGAAAUGCGUAGAUAUCUGGAGGAACACCGGUGGCGAAGGCGGCAUCCUGGACCAAUAUUGACGCUGAGGAGGCGAAAAGCUAGGGGAGCAAACAGG